CUGCACAGUUCUGAUGGUUAAUAUACUGUAUCUGAAACUUGACCUUACAUUAUGCUCUGAGAUUGAAGUGAUUUAUUUAUUGUUUAAUAUUUCUGCAGAAAUCAAUUUGCAAGGAGCUAGAGGAAACAAAGCUUCAAAGAAAUCAAAAUCUUAGGCUUGAGCGUCAUCUUCAAAUGCAACUUUGAUGGCAGAAAUUCAGCAAAUGAGGGAAGAAAACAAGAUUAUUUAAGAAGAACUUGAAAAGAUGGGUACUAUAUUUGCACAAUUAUUCAGUGCAAAUCCUGAGUUGUUAAGUUCUUUAAACUUGAACAACUCCAGCUCACUAAAUGAUGAAACACAAGCUCCUUCUGAUAAAGAUUAAGUACUUGAUGUUUUUAUGACUUCUUUUGGUGUGUAUGGCAAUAAUGCAUUGCUUAAAUAUUUAUGCACACGAUACUAUCUUUUGGUUGUAAAUAAUUUUGAUAUUUAAGUAUUUUCAUUUUAAAUUUAAA